rnacentral:rRNA from 1 species
UGAGGAAUUUUGGACAAUGGGGGAAACCCUGAUCCAGCGACGCCGCGUGGAGGACGAAGGUCUUCGGAUUGUAAACUCCUUUUCUUCGGGAAUAACAGAUCUGUAGAAAUACAGAGCUUGAAUGUACCGAAGGAAUAAGCCACGGCUAACUUCGUGCCAGCAGCCGCGGUAAUACGAAGGUGGCAAGCGUUACUCGGAAUUACUAGGCGUAAAGCGCAGGUAGGUGGUUGUGUAAGUCUGCUGUGAAAGCUCCCGGCUUAACUGGGAGAGGUCAGCGGAUACUGCAUAGCUAGAGUGUGGGAGAGGGUACUGGAAUUCCCGGUGUAGCGGUGAAAUGCGCAGAGAUCGGGAGGAACACCUAAGGCGAAAGCAGGUACCUGGACCAUUACUGACACUAAGCUGCGAAAGCUAGGGGAGCAAACA